UUAGAGGUUUGGAUGAUGU
rnacentral:siRNA from 1 species